rnacentral:rRNA from 1 species
CGAACCGGGGGAACUGAAACAUCUAAGUACCCCGAGGAAAAGAAAUCAACCGAGAUUCCCCCAGUAGCGGCGAGCGAACGGGGAGCAGCCCAGAGCCUGAAUCAGUAUGUGUGUUAGUGGAAGCGUCUGGAAAGGCGCGCGAUACAGGGUGACAGCCCCGUACACAAAAAUGCACAUGCUGUGAGCUCGAUGAGUAGGGCGGGACACGUGGUAUCCUGUCUGAAUAUGGGGGGACCAUCCUCCAAGGCUAAAUACUCCUGACUGACCGAUAGUGAACCAGUACCGUGAGGGAAAGGCGAAAAGAACCCCGGCGAGGGGAGUGAAAAAGAACCUGAAACCGUGUACGUACAAGCAGUGGGAGCACGCUUAGGCGUGUGACUGCGUACCUUUUGUAUAAUGGGUCAGCGACUUAUAUUCUGUAGCAAGGUUAACCGAAUAGGGGAGCCGAAGGGAAACCGAGUCUUAACUGGGCGUUAAGUUGCAGGGUAUAGACCCGAAACCCGGUGAUCUAGCCAUGGGCAGGUUGAAGGUUGGGUAACACUAACUGGAGGACCGAACCGACUAAUGUUGAAAAAUUAGCGGAUGACUUGUGGCUGGGGGUGAAAGGCCAAUCAAACCGGGAGAUAGCUGGUUCUCCCCGAAAGCUAUUUAGGUAGCGCCUCGUGAAUUCAUCUCCGGGGGUAGAGCACUGUUUCGGCAAGGGGGUCAUCCCGACUUACCAACCCGAUGCAAACUGCGAAUACCGGAGAAUGUUAUCACGGGAGACACACGGCGGGUGCUAACGUCCGUCGUGAAGAGGGAAACAACCCAGACCGCCAGCUAAGGUCCCAAAGUCAUGGUUAAGUGGGAAACGAUGUGGGAAGGCCCAGACAGCCAGGAUGUUGGCUUAGAAGCAGCCAUCAUUUAAAGAAAGCGUAAUAGCUCACUGGUCGAGUCGGCCUGCGCGGAAGAUGUAACGGGGCUAAACCAUGCACCGAAGCUGCGGCAGCGACGCUUAUGCGUUGUUGGGUAGGGGAGCGUUC